UUUUUUCAUUGAAAUGAAAAACAUAUCAUGUUAUUAGAACCGGAUCCGGAAGUGCUGAAAACAGCUGCCGUUUUUGCUUCGGUCGGAACGAUGAUAAGCGGAAGAACCGGGACGGAAUGAUGAUGAUGCCGCGCAGCUUGGAUUGCACCUUAUCAAACCAGUGUCCCGAGCUCCUACAUUAAAAUGCUAGUGAUUUAAUGA